rnacentral:lncRNA from 12 species
UCUUACCUGCUGCUCACUCAGACAGCGGUGAGGAAACGGGGGUUGAGCUGCUCUUCCCCACGAGCUGAGCCUGCAAUAGACAGCGAGGGGCAGACGUGCGAGCCCACCCGGGUGAGGGGACACAGAGCUCGUGGGCUGAUGCACCGAGAUCCGGGGAGGUGUGCUGAGACUGGCAAAGCAGAAAUAGGACUGGAAGCAACAGAGUGCCAGAUGGGCUCUGCACAAGGUCAGCUCCCUUUCCAGCUACACGUGGCAGUGCCAGGUCACAGAUGUCCUGGUAAAUCAGCCCUUGUACUUUCAUAGCUCUAUGCCUCCUGUAGCCUUGAACAGGGACUGAGGUUGCUUGCCACAGACAGCGACACGUCUCCGGAGCCUGGUUCUUGUUG